rnacentral:sRNA from 1 species
AGUGAGGCGUUAGCGAUUGAAGCGGCAUCCUUUUUUUGCUGCCAUAAAUGGCAAAAAAAGAUAUAGCAAAAAGCGCGACCCUUG